GGCAUUUAAACACCAAGGAAAAUGGAUGCAGUCUCUGACAUUUCUGAGCUGCUUUUCUUAUGAUGGGAAUUUGUUGGACCAGGUGAGAGGAGGCUGAAUUUGGGCAUCAACUGUACAGAAAGGACAAGAAAAGCUGUCCUAAGGAUGGUUUUAGAGGUCAAGAGAAGAAAAUGGAUGACAGAAAGGAUGUCAUUUCUGCCUAAGUACGAUAAAGGGGUUAAGGACUAUUGAAGGCUGUUUCUUCAGUGGGCUGAAGAAAACUGGGAUAAAGAGCCAGCCUUCCAGAUAUGCAAACCCACCAUUCUUUCCUCU